AACCCAGUGUGACUCGUCACACUAUCAUUAACUGAAUCCAUAGGUUAAUGAGGCGAACCGGGGGAACUGAAACAUCUAAGUACCCCGAGGAAAAGAAAUCAACCGAGAUUCCCCCAGUAGCGGCGAGCGAACGGGGAGGAGCCCAGAGCCUGAAUCAGCAUGUGUGUUAGUGGAAGCGUCUGGAAAGGCGCGCGAUACAGGGUGACAGCCCCGUACACAAAAGCGCAUGUGCUGUGAGCUCGAUGAGUAGGGCGGGACACGUGGUAUCCUGUCUGAAUAUGGGGGGACCAUCCUCCAAGGCUAAAUACUCCUGACUGACCGAUAGUGAACCAGUACCGUGAGGGAAAGGCGAAAAGAACCCCGGCGAGGGGAGUGAAACAGAACCUGAAACCGUG
rnacentral:rRNA from 2 species